UACGGAGGAUGCGAGCGUUAUCCGGAUUUAUUGGGUUUAAAGGGUGCGUAGGCGGAUCAUUAAGUCAGUGGUGAAAUCUUUCGGCUCAACUGGAAAAUUGCCAUUGAUACUGAUGAUCUUGAAUGCAGUUGAGGUAAGCGGAAUGUGUAAUGUAGCGGUGAAAUGCUUAGAUAUUACACAGAACACCGAUUGCGAAGGCAGCUUGCUAAACUGUGAUUGACGCUGAGGCACGAAAGCGUGGGGAUCAAACAGGAUUAGAUACCCUGGUAGUCCACGCUGUAAACGAUGAUUACUCGUUGUUUGCGAUAUACAGCAAGCGACUGAGCGAAAGCAUUAAGUAAUCCACCUGGGGAGUACGUUCGCAAGAAUGAA
rnacentral:rRNA from 1 species